AUUGAACGCUGGCGGCAGGCCUAACACAUGCAAGUCGAGCGGAUGAAGGGAGCUUGCUCCUGGAUUCAGCGGCGGACGGGUGAGUAAUGCCUAGGAAUCUGCCUGGUAGUGGGGGAUAACGUCCGGAAACGGGCGCUAAUACCGCAUACGUCCUGAGGGAGAAAGUGGGGGAUCUUCGGACCUUACGCUAUCAGAUGAGCCUAGGUCGGAUUAGCUAGUUGGUGGGGUAAAGGCCUACCAAGGCGACGAUCCGUAACUGGUCUGAGAGGAUGAUCAGUCACACUGGAACUGAGACACGGUCCAGACUCCUACGGGAGGUAGCAGUGGGGAAUAUUGGACAAUGGGCGAAAGCCUGAUCCAGCCAUGCCGCGUGUGUGAAGAAGGUCUUCGGAUUGUAAAGCACUUUAAGUUGGGAGGAAGGGCAGUAAGUUAAUACCUUGCUGUUUUGACGUUACCAACAGAAUAAGCACCGGCUAACUUCGUG
rnacentral:rRNA from 1 species